GCGCGGGCUUCGGCCUGGCGGCGAGUGGCGAACGGGUGAGUAAUACAUCGGAACGUGCCCUGUUGUGGGGGAUAACUAGUCGAAAGAUUAGCUAAUACCGCAUACGACCUGAGGGUGAAAGCGGGGGACCGGAAGGCCUCUCGCGAUAGGAGCGGCCGAUGUCUGAUUAUCUAUUUGGGGGGGUAAAAGCCUACCAAGGCGACAAUCACUAGCUGGGCUGAGAGGAGACGAUCCCCCACUGGGACUGAGACACGGCCCACACUCCUACGGGAGGCAGCAGUGGGGAAUUUUGGACAAUGGGGGCAACCCUGAUCCACCAAUGCCGCGUGUGUGAAGAAAGCCUUCUGGUUGUAAAGCACUUUUGUCCGGAAAGAAAACGCGCUGGGUAAUACCCGGGGUGUGUGUGAGUACCCGAAAAAUAUGCACCGGCUAACUACAUGCCAGCAGCCGCGGUAUACGUAGGGGGCGAGCGUUAAUCUCAAUUACUGGGCGUAAGCGUGCGCACGCGGUUUUGAAGACAGGCGUGAAAUCCCCGGGCUCAACUGUGAUAUGGCUUGUGACUGUGCGCUAUAGUGUGUCAGAGAGGGUAGAUUCACGUGUAUACUGUGAUGUGUAUAGAGUGAGAAUAUAGAUAUGCAAC
rnacentral:rRNA from 1 species